rnacentral:rRNA from 1 species
GACGAACGCUGGCGGCGUGCUUAACACAUGCAAGUCGAACGGAAAGGCCCUGCUUGCAGGGUACUCGAGUGGCGAACGGGUGAGUAACACGUGGGUGAUCUGCCCUGCACUUCGGGAUAAGCUUGGGAAACUGGGUCUAAUACCGGAUAGGAGCCAUCUUUAGUGUGGUGGUUGGAAAGUUUUUUCGGUGUAGGAUGAGCUCGCGGCCUAUCAGCUUGUUGGUGGGGUAAUGGCCUACCAAGGCGGCGACGGGUAGCCGGCCUGAGAGGGUGUACGGCCACAUUGGGACUGAGAUACGGCCCAGACUCCUACGGGAGGCAGCAGUGGGGAAUAUUGCACAAUGGGCGCAAGCCUGAUGCAGCGACGCCGCGGGGGGGAUGAAGGCCUUCGGGUUGGAAACUCCUUUCGCUAGGGACGAAGCUUUUUUGUGACGGUACCUAGAUAAGAAGCACCGGCUAACUACGU